GCAAUUGUGUCCGAGUGGUUAAGGCGAUAGACUUAACAUCUAUUCUUCUCUGAGGGCGUAGGUUCGAACCCUACCAACUGCG
rnacentral:tRNA from 1 species